rnacentral:rRNA from 1 species
UUAUAUUAAAAAAAAGGACCAUGGCUAAGCUAUGUGUCCGCUUCUUAGAAGUUUAUAUCCCGUGUUGUAAUAGUACGACCGUAAAUGUUUAACUAGCUUAUUAUAAAUAACACGUAUGUCGUAACUGAAAGGUUGAUCGAUCACAAUGUGGCCUGAACAAAGCCCAUGACUUAUGUUACAGCAGUGAGGAAUCUUGGUCAAUAGCCGCAAGGCUGAACCAGCAACUUGGAGGAAUGAAUGGCAAUAGCCAAUGCAUUAAUAUGAUGCAAUAUCAAAGUAGAAUAAAAUUCUGGGUAGACUAUGAUAAUGACAUUAUCUAUCUAUGAGUCUUGACCAAACUACGUGCCAGCAGUCGCGGUAAAACGUUAAAGACAAGUGUUAUUCAUGUUUAAUCGGUUCUAAAGAGUCCCAAGACUGUUAAUAAAGCCCAUAAAGGGGACACAUUAACUAGAGCUAUAUGAAAAGGGGCUCUAAGGACUGUCAUUGUUUAGAGAUAAAAUUCAAUAUACAGAUAAUGGCACCAUCNAAUGCGAACGCAUCCCCUUAUGUAAUAACUGACGUUGUCGGACGAAGGCUUAGAGAAGAAAAAUGGAU